rnacentral:rRNA from 1 species
AUUGAACGCUGGCGGCAUGCUUUACACAUGCAAGUCGAACGGUAACAGGCCUUCGGGUGCUGACGAGUGGCGAACGGGUGAGUAAUGCAUCGGAACGUACCCAGAGGUGGGGGAUAACGCAGCGAAAGCUGUGCUAAUACCGCAUGUGAUCUGAGGAUGAAAGCGGGGGACCGAGCAGCAAUGUUUGGCCUCGCGCCUUUGGAGCGGCCGAUGUCGGAUUAGCUAGUUGGUGGGGUAAAGGCCUACCAAGGCGACGAUCCGUAGCUGGUCUGAGAGGACGACCAGCCACACUGGGACUGAGCCACGGCCCAGACUCCUACGGGAGGCAGCAGUGGGGAAUUUUGGACAAUGGGCGCGAGCCUGAUCCAGCAAUGCCGCGUGCGGGAAGAAGGCCUUCGGGUUGUAAACCGCUUUUGGCAGGAACGAAACGGUGUCCGCUAAUACCGGGCGCUAAUGACGGUACCUGCAGAAUAAGCACCGGCUAACUACGUG